GACGAACGCUGGCGGCGUGCUUAACACAUGCAAGUCGAACGGAAAGGCCCUGCUUUUGUGGGGUGCUCGAGUGGCGAACGGGUGAGUAACAUGUGAGUAACCUGCCCUUGACUUUGGGAUAACUUCAGGAAACUGGGGCUAAUACCGGAUAGGAGCUCCUGCUGCAUGGUGGGGGUUGGAAAGUUUCGGCGGUUGGGGAUGGACUGGCGGCUUAUCAGCUUGUUGGUGGGGUAGUGGCCUACCAGGCGUUUGACGGGUAGUCGGCCUGGGAGGGUGGACGGCCACAUUAGGACUGAGAGACGGACCAGACUCCUACGGGAGACAGCAGGGGGGAAUAUUGCACAAUGAGCGGAAGCCUGAUGCAGAGACGCCGCGUGCGGGAUGACGGCCUGCGGGUUGUGAACCGCUUUCGCCUAUUACGAAGCGUGAGUGACGGUAAUGGGUAAAGAAGCACCGGCUAACUACGUG
rnacentral:rRNA from 1 species